GUGUGGCUCAGUGGUAGAGUGCUUGCCUUGCAUGCAUGAGGCCCUGGGUUCAAUUCCUCAGCAC
rnacentral:tRNA from 1 species